rnacentral:misc_RNA from 1 species
UCCGGCUCUACGCCGGCAGUCUCUCUAGAGUCCCCAACUUAAUGAUGGCAACUAGUGACAGGGGUUGCGCUCGUUGCAGGACUUAACCUAACACCUCACGGCACGAGCUGACGACAACCAUGCAGCACCUUGAAAAUUGCCCGAAGGAAGGUCUAUUUCUAAACCGAUCAAUUCCCAUUUAAGCCUUGUUAAGGUUCCUCGCGUAUCAUCGAAUUAAACCACAUAAUCCACCGCUUGUGCGGGCCCCCGUCAAUUCCUUUGAGUUUCAUUCUUGCGAACGUACUCCCCAGGUGGCUAACUUAUCACUUUCGCUUAGUCUCUGAAUCUUAAAGACCCAAAAACGAGUUAGCAUCGUUUACGGCGUGGACUAC